rnacentral:lncRNA from 1 species
CCCGGGACUAAAGGGUUCUCAUCAAUUUAUGGUGCCAGUUUAGGCGCCAUAACUUGGUUUUUUCUUUUUUUUCCUCUUUACAUUGUUAAAUGCAUUAUAAAUUAAAUAAAUCUGAUAAAAUUGUUAAAAAAUACACAUUAAUUUUAUUCUGCUCUACUCUUGAGUAUAAAAAUUCUUGACACAAUUGCUUUUUAAAUAUUUCAUAUUAUUCAAAAUAAAUGUUAUUCAUAAUGAAUAUUGUGUUAAUGCAAAAAUAUAAUGGCCAAUUAAAUUUUAAAAAAUUGUUGGCUUUAGACAGAUACUUUGUUUUUGGGUCAUUUCGACGUUAAACUUUUGUUUCUUUAGUAAUAAUUAUACAAAUGCGCGACAUUGAUUGUAUAAAUUUGAAAUUUAAAUUUUUAAAAGUUGUCAGAUGUAAUUUGGAAUCCUGGAU